UACAGAGGUCUCAAGCGUUGUCCGGAUUUAUUGGGCGUAAAGAGCUCGUAGGCGGCGCGGUAAGUCGGGUGUGAAAUCUCGGAGCUUAACUCCGAAACUGCAUUCGAUACUGCCGUGCUUGAGGACUGGAGAGGAGACUGGAAUUUACGGUGUAGCGGUGAAAUGCGUAGAUAUCGUAAGGAAGACCAGUGGCGAAGGCGGGUCUCUGGACAAUUCCUGACGCUGAGGCGCGAAGGUCAGGGGAGCAAACGGG
rnacentral:rRNA from 1 species